rnacentral:rRNA from 1 species
UACGAAGGGGGCUAGCGUUGUUCGGAAUUACUGGGCGUAAAGCGAGCGUAGGUUGCUCAGCAAGUCAGUGGUGAAAUCCCAGGGCUCAACCCUGGAACUGCCAUUGAAACUGCUGAGCUGGAAUCUCAGAGGGGAUAGCGGAAUUCCAAAUGUAGGGGUGAAAUCCGUAGAUAUUUGGAGGAACACCGGUGGCGAAGGCGGCUAUCUGGAUGAGUAUUGACACUGAGGCUCGAAAGCGUGGGGAUCAAACAGG